AGAAACUGAAACAUCAAAGUCAUACUACAGGAGUAAAGAAACUCUACCAAAGCAAAAGUUUGCCAUCAUGCCCGUUCUUAGGAUACCAUGGAUAACAUAGAACUACUGAGUGGAACAUUGGGAUUGCUUCCUUAUCUCCGUGAAGUGCCGGACAAACCACCUCACACAGCGAUAAUGGAUACCGAAGGCCUAGUUUUAUACCAACAAUUGAUUUUCCAUACUAAAUGUUAAUAAUAAUUCAAUUAGAUACAUUAUUUUUCAUGUUCGUGUUUUGAGCUGCUGUUGGCUAUGUUUGGUGUGUAUACACAACCUUAAUAAGAGACGUCCAGUUCAUCACAAUGUCUGGAAUAAUAUAAAAAGAUUGACCGUUGUAGUUGAAUAGUCUCCGGAGAGUGGGUGGCAUGCAAAAUCGAUCAUUUGAUGGAAAAUAUCAGUUAAUAGUUGUUUUUUUUUGUUUUUUUUUACUGUGGAAAUAAUCAAUUUUUAUAAAAUCUAUCAUUACUAUUUUAUUAUUAAAUUUUUCUCUGCUAAAA